AGCCUUCUUUAUGCAAGCCCUAGGCUCAGUGGUUUAACCCAAGCACCACCCGCGUCCUAUUCUAUUGUGUGUUUUAUCCCAAGUUACCAUUACAGAGUCUGGUGGUGGUGUCAAGAGGCCAGGAGAGACUGGGCCAGUUCACAGAUUGUUCUCACCCAGUCGGGGCCUGAAGUAAAAGAGCCUGGAGAGGCUAUGAGGCUCACCUGUUCAACAGCAGGAUUUGACCUUAGCAGUGCUCACAUGCACUGGCUCCGCCAGUCUCCAGGGAAAGGGCUGGAAUGGUUGGUUCAUUAUCAAUCAUCAUCUAGCUAUACCUACUCUGCAGCUAUCAAAGGGCGUUCCACUGUGUCCAAGGACAGCUCCAGAUUUCAUCUUCAGAUGAACAGCCUGAAGCAAAAAGACACAGCCAUAUAUUACUGUGCCAGAGAAAGACACAGUGUUGGAAACUGA